rnacentral:lncRNA from 1 species
GCUGCCAGGAGCCUGGAGCGCUGCGUUCCGCGCAGGACGCCGACAGAGUCUCGCUCUGUCGCCCAGGCUGGAGUGGAGUGGAGAAAUCUCAGCUAACUGCAACCUUUGCCUCCUGGGUUCAAGCGAUUCUCCCUGCCUCAGUCUCCGGAGUAGCUGGGAUUAUAGGCGUGCACCACCACACCCGGCUAAUUUUUGUAUUUUUAGUAGAGACUGUUUCACUAUGUUGGGCAGGCUGCUCUUGAACUCCUCAUCUCAAGUGAUCCACCCGCCUUGGCCUCCCAAAGUGCUGGGAUUACAGGCGUGAGCCAUCAUGCACGGCCUGGGGUGAAUCUUUUUAAUGAGCAUUUAUUAUUUGCCGUUCACAAUGCCAAGGGUCAUAAUGAAUGAAAGUGUCUUGGAAUUAGAGUUAGUGGUUGCACACAUUAUAAGUGUAUUAAAGUACACUCCAAAAUAAAAUCCGAACACAUUAAGUGGUUACUCCCAUUCCUCCCUCUCUCAGCCCCU